AAUGAAUGGAGGAACCAGAAGUAAAACUACAAAACACUUAGACUGGAGAAUGCAUAAGGAGCGGCCAGAAGCCAGCCCAGACCGACCCGAGGAGGAACCUCAUUGGUAGAAGCAGCCUCUCCAGGAUUAGGGGGAUGUGAGACGCGAAGGGCAGGGGAAACCCAGUGGUCCAGCAUAGGCUACUGGUGGAUGAGGGGUCUUCCAUGGAGUUAGAGGAACACUGCCAGGUCAGGCCAGGGUUGCUCUCCGUGUGGCUAGCAGGCAGCUAAACAGAUCUGAAUGCAUUUCCACGCCUCCUCCCUACCGCCCCGGCCCGCAGCCUCGGGUUCCCACGGUCCCCAGUCCACUGCAAAAUCCAGGCUUCCCGCCCCUCUACGACUGGAGGGUAGGGGCGAGGCUAGCAGCUCCCUCCCGGCUUCCUCCGCUUGUUCUCUCCUCCCCUUCCCCCUCCUCCGGGCGGCUCUCCACUUCCUCUCCCCUCACCCCACCCCAGGGAAAAACGAAAACAAACACCCUUGCGCCCCGCACCUCCGACUCCCGCACCCCACGACCCGGCUCCGGAACUGCUUUGGCGGCCUGGGUCGGAGAAGGCACCUCGCCCCGGACCCCCUACGCCCCGCAGCUCAGUGACUCUUCGCCUCGCCCCUCGCCUUCCCCGCCCCAGCCCGACUCCGCCUCCCAAUGGGGAAACAUCCCAAAAAAGGGCAGAAAAGAAAUUUCAGCAUAAAGUUGGCCCACUGGGAAAGAGGGGAGCGUCCGCGGGGAGCGGGGGAAGAGAGGGAGGGCGCGCGGAGGGGAGUGGGGCCAGGCGAGCCGGGGCCGCGGAGCGGAGGGGUUCGUUACCCGUCCGGGUGGGAGCGGGGGCGGGGAACGCGCGGUGACCAGCCCAGCCGCAACCGCGUGGAAAAUAUGCGGGACACGUGGGGGGCUGGGCGGGGAGCUGGGUCCUGAGCCGCCGGGCGCUCGCAGGAAGGGCCUGGCUCCAGGGGCGGGGGCUGGGAGGGGAGGCGAGGGGAUGAGAGGUCAGGCCGGUCCCGGGGGCAGCAAGCCCGGCCACACUCCGCACCGCGACCGGGGCUCUGGGCUCGCCUCCUGCCUCAGUUUCCCCAAGCCCCCGAUGAGACUCCGCUACUACCACCACGUCGAUAACGCAAACUUAGAGGGACUCUGGGUAAACUGAGGCACUCAAAUUGCCGAGGAGCUCCGCCUCCCAAGAGACAUUUAAUCCAGGGGGAUUUGCAGGAAACUUCUAAAUUAAGGGUAGCGGCUGCUGCAGCUGAGGGGGGGCACGCCGGUCGCUGCGCCUGGGCAGCUGCCGUGAGCUCACGCCCCGAAAUAGCCCCAGGGGCCCCAGCCGCAGCUGCCACUGGGUCCGGCUGUCACUCAGAGGAAGCACGGAGCCCCCAGCCCAAAGGUCCCCUCCCCUCCGCAGCGCCGGAGUUUUUCCAGCCGACCUUCUGCUACUUUUUCCUCCGACGGCUGGCGGGGAAGAGGGGAAUGGGGGCGGGACCCCAAGGGAGGCGGUCCCCAGUGGGUGGGCGAAGGGGGCGGGCGCGCCCCCCGGCCGGGCCGUGCUUCUGCCCCUACAAGGUUUGGGCCGAGGUGGGGGAGGGUCCUGGUUGCCGGCCCCGCCCGGUCCCUCCCUGCCUUUUAGGCGCCCGCGCGGCCGGGACGUCCCAGCUCCGCUUGGUCCUCCUUGCCUGCCACCCGUGUACCCAGUCCGCUCAGCCAGCCCAGUCCGUCCAGUCCUCACCGCCUGCCGGCCUGCCCACCCCCCACCGCAGCCAUGGACGCCAUCAAGAAGAAGAUGCAGAUGCUGAAGCUGGACAAGGAGAACGCCAUCGACCGCGCCGAGCAGGCCGAAGCCGACAAGAAACAAGCUGAGGACCGCUGCAAGCAGCUGGAGGAGGAGCAGCAGGCCCUCCAGAAGAAGCUGAAGGGGACAGAGGAUGAGGUGGAAAAGUAUUCUGAAUCCGUGAAGGAGGCCCAGGAGAAACUGGAGCAGGCCGAGAAGAAGGCCACUGAUGCUGAGGCAGAUGUGGCCUCUCUGAACCGCCGCAUUCAGCUGGUUGAGGAGGAGCUGGACCGGGCCCAGGAGCGCCUGGCUACAGCCCUGCAGAAGCUGGAGGAGGCCGAGAAGGCGGCUGAUGAGAGCGAGAGAGGAAUGAAGGUCAUUGAAAACCGGGCCAUGAAGGACGAGGAGAAGAUGGAGCUGCAGGAGAUGCAGCUGAAGGAGGCCAAGCACAUCGCUGAGGAUUCAGACCGCAAAUACGAAGAGGUGGCCAGGAAGCUGGUGAUCCUGGAAGGAGAGCUGGAGCGCUCGGAGGAGAGAGCUGAGGUGGCUGAGAGCCGAGCCAGACAGCUGGAGGAGGAACUUCGAACCAUGGACCAGGCCCUCAAGUCCCUGAUGGCCUCAGAGGAGGAGUAUUCCACCAAAGAAGAUAAAUAUGAAGAGGAGAUCAAACUGUUGGAGGAGAAGCUGAAGGAGGCUGAGACCCGAGCAGAGUUUGCUGAGAGGUCUGUGGCAAAGUUGGAGAAAACCAUUGAUGACCUAGAAGAUGAAGUCUAUGCCCAGAAGAUGAAGUACAAGGCCAUUAGCGAGGAACUGGACAACGCACUCAAUGACAUCACCUCCCUCUGAGCCCCACGCCAGCGUGGCCACCUCAGCCCUCUUCUCUCCUCUCCUUUCUAUUCUCUCUAUGGGGAGGGGAGCAGGCAGGAGGAGCAGAAAUUGCCAACAUUGCACAGCCAGGCUGGGAGCAGCCUAGGGAGAGCCCCUAUCAUGCCCACCACCCACUCUGGCACUGGCUUCAUCCUUUACCUGUCCCCUCCACCCCCCUUUGCUGCUUAAUAAACUCUGAACUUGGUCUCCAUGCUGUUUUCCUGCCCUCCAGAGAGCACCUCUAUCGCCACCACGGAGCACUGGUUCACUCCUGACACCCUGACUCUUACUGACACCCGCAGCCCCUGCACUGAGCCCACCCACAAAACACCAUGGCCCACGCUGAAACCCCUCUGCACAGGCACUCCCUGGCUGUCGCUCUCUGACUCACCGCUGCAUGUGGACACGUGUAGCCCCGUCAAACCAUGACCCCCUCUGGUGCCAAUCACUGACCUCAGAGCACUUAGCUGGGGUUCCAGGAUCAAACAGAGUGACUGGAAAGGAAGUAGGGUGGUGAGGUGCAGGACAGGGGCAAGAAGGUUGCAAAAGGUCUGGAAUGGAGCUUGGAAAAAAUGUUGGAUACCUGCAACAUGGGGCUUUCACUGCAGCGGCAGAGACCUUGGCCAGUGCCAAGGAGGAGAACGUCGAGAUUCACCAGACCUUGGACCAGACGCUGCUGGAACUCAACAACCUGUGAGGGCCCGCCCCACCCACAGCCAGGCUGUGGCUGCUGCCCCAACCCAAUAAAACUGAUGUUACCAGCU